CCUUCUUCUUUGCCGUAAGGCUCGGAUCAAAGUGUAGUAACUGUUCUUGUUGAGGCUAACCCCUCAACACGGGUCGUAUACUGGCUCGAUACUGCUCUAAUUUUUUGGAUUAUUGGUGAUGGCUCAACGGCGCUUGCGUGGUUGAAUCGUUUCCAGGGUGUCCUUGGUAUUACACUGUCUCCAAGCGAUGCGCACAUGUU
rfam:Fusarium oxysporum f. sp. cubense race 4 unplaced genomic scaffold scaffold52, whole genome shotgun sequence.